UAAGGGAUAUUGGUCAAUGGGCGCAAGCCUGAACCAGCAACGCCGCGUGCAGGAUGACGGCCUUCGGGUUGUAAACUGCUUUGGAAGGGGACGAGCAAGGACGGUACCCUUCGAACAAGUCACGGCUAACUACGUGCC
rnacentral:rRNA from 1 species